GGCCUAACCUCCCACCCGUGAAUAC
rnacentral:rRNA from 1 species